GGAUGUAGCUCAGUUGGUAGAGUGCUUGCCUCGCAUGCACAAAUCCCGGAGUUCAAACCCCAGAACCA
rnacentral:tRNA from 1 species